rnacentral:rRNA from 1 species
GCCCUAGUAACGGCGAGUGAAGCGGCAACAGCUCAAAUUUGAAAUCUGGCGCAAGCCCGAGUUGUAAUUUGUAGAGGAUGCUUCUAGGUAGCGACCGGUCUAAGUUCCUUGGAACAGGACGUCAUAGAGGGUGAGAAUCCCGUAUGUGACCGGCCCGCACCUUCUACGUAGCUCCUUCGACGAGUCGAGUUGUUUGGGAAUGCAGCUCUAAAUGGGAGGUAAAUUUCUUCUAAAGCUAAAUACCGGCCAGAGACCGAUAGCGCACAAGUAGAGUGAUCGAAAGAUGAAAAGCACUUUGGAAAGAGAGUUAAAAAGCACGUGAAAUUGUUGAAAGGGAAGCGCUCACAACCAGACUUCUGGGCGGUGUUCCGCCGGUCUUCUGACCGGUCUACUCACCGUCCCGAGGCCAACAUCAUCUGGGACCGCUGGAUAAGACCUCAGGAAUGUAGCUCCCCCUCGGGGGAGUGUUAUAGCCUGUGGUGAUGCAGCGCGUCUCGGGUGAGGUCCGCGCUUCGGCAAGGAUGUUGGCGUAAUGGUUGUCAGCGGCCCGUCUUGAAACACGGACCAAGGAGUCUAACAUCUAUGCGAGUGUUCGGGUGUCAAACCCCUACGCGUAAUGAAAGUGAACGGAGGUGGGAAGCGUAAGCUGCACCAUCGACCGAUCCUGAUGUCCUCGGAUGGAUUUGAGUAAGAGCAUAGCUGUUGGGACCCGAAAGAUGGUGAACUAUGCCUGAAUAGGGUGAAGCCAGAGGAAACUCUGGUGGAGGCUCGCAGCGGUUCUGACGUGCAAAUCGAUCGUCAAAUUUGGGUAUAGGGGCGAAAGACUAAUCGAACCAU